CAUGGCUGAAUCCAGGGAUUAAGGAUCCAUCUCUCUCUCUCUGUACUGCUGUCCCCCUUGCAGGCUUCUCUCCGAGGAAGGCUCAGCCUUUCCCCAUGGAAGCAGGGUGUCCCUUUUCCCAUUCACUUCAGCAAGAGUUCCAGCGGAUGACAUACUCCUUCAGGACGCCGGGGCAGGUGCUCAGCGGGGACGGCUUCCAGUCCACAGAGACAAAGUCCAGGCCACCUUUAUUCACCGACACGUGCUGUGGGAUCCCGGCCACCGAGGCUGCAGCCAGCACCAUUGCCACAGUCAGCUCUAAAAGCACUGAUUGAGCACUUCCAGCCCAGCACUGUCCAGGUUUGAGUCACAGCAAGGCCGUCUUUUGGAAUGUGACUUUGGCCUAUGGCCUCUCACCCCCCAAGCCUUGAUUUCCUCACCUGUGAAGUGGGAAUAAUCCAUUACUGAACUACAAGGUGGGACAACGGCCACACAAAGAAUUUAGCACUGGCCUGGCACACAGUAGGUGCUCAGUUAAUGCG